rnacentral:lncRNA from 1 species
AAGCCUCGACGGCCCUAGAAGAAAUCACAAGUCCGAUUCAAGAUUAAGUGUCUACCACCCUUGAAUCAAAACCUAGUUCAAGAAUAAGCUGUGGAAAAUCAACAAUUGGAGGAAUCUAGAAAAUCCUUCAACCCAGUUCAAGAUCAAAGCUGUGGAAAGUCAACAAAUCGCAACAAAAUACGUGUCGAUUCACCCACUACCAAAGCCAAAGAUCAUCUACCACAUGAAGCUCCUUGUGGUCCAAUUUCAACCUUCAAGAUCAAGCCUCGACGGCC